rnacentral:lncRNA from 1 species
AUGUAUAUGAAAACAUCCUUGACCUUUUGUACACAAUCUUCACCCAGCUGGAGAUUCAAGGAUUGCUCAACCCUGGUGAAGAAAUUGACUUGUUUGCACUGCACAGAUGCUUUUUGCAUCACAUUCAACAUCAUCUUCAGUCAUUCUAGGAAGCAUGGAAUCAGCACGGACUCAGAACAGCAAACAACCAUUCACCCCUGCAACUCUGGUUGCUGCACAGAAAAGAGGGACAAGAUUUGUCACAGGGAGCAGUCUCUGAUUCCCUUGGUAAGAAAAGAGGAAUGAUGUCUGAUCUUUCUGUCAGAAGCGGCCAUACCAUGGUCUCCUUAAGCCCUUUCCUCAGCUGCUUGACUUGACGGCUUGUUCGUGUUAUGACCUACAACGGUGAGACCAAACCAAAACUGAAGUUGGAGUCCGUAAAUUGAGACACACUUUAAAUGUUAAAUACUUAAAGAACAUCCACUGUACUGGUAAAAGCAUUUUAAAUGGCCUCCAAAGAGAUUUUUUUUAAUUGUAUAUGAAAAAUGUACUUAUUCACAUCCGAAGGUUUGAUGUGCUUUUCAAAAUGUAAAUUUAUUGGGGAGAGUAAGUCUGUACUCACAGCGUGGAAUAGCAGACAUUCAUACAGCCACUUUCUAUCGGUUUGUGUGACACCUGGCAGGUCCCAAGCCAGGGCUAGCUCGAGAACAUUUCUUUGUUCCAGUUCUGUUAAUUCAGUAGUGCCAUCAAGCUAGGACAGAGAAAAAAAAAGUUAGUAGUCAGUAGUAGGUACUGAUGGCUAUUCAAUCAUGUCUCUAAAUUCAAUAUUUAGUGAAAUAGUAAUUCUUUAAAAUAAUGGUACAAAAAUGCAAACCAGCUGAAUAGUGCUGCGGAUGUCAAUAUCAUGGCAAUCCUCAAUCUGAACCGUAGCUGUUUCAGGUGAGCCACCAAAAAGGACAUGGAUGAUUGCAGGACUUAUACCAGACACACACGGUCCACCAUGAAUGACUGAAUGUCCCAUUAUUCUUCCUAAGAUCAAACAUAAAUUCACUUAGCCUAACAUUGCACGGGGGUAAAAACAAACAGUUUUGUAACUGUAUUCAAUCUAUUUUUCAUCUUUAUGGUUACAGUUAGGAUAAUGUAACACAAGUAAUGCUGUUUCCUUUAGUGCUGCACAUGUAUUAUUUUAAAUUACUCCUCUUAUUUCUGUACAUGACUUUCUUACCUGCCACCAAAAACAUGUCCCUCUCAAGCAAGGUCUGAGAAGUGGAUGGAGUCAAGUGUUCUGGCUCACCGUCAAACCGUCUUGUAAGAUCUGUGUUCCCUGAAAAGAGUACAGCUAGGUUAUGGUGAGUAUGAGAAAUCCAGGCAGUAAUUUUAACACAAUUAACUCAUUU